CUCAAUACCCCGUCCGGUAUGAGGGUGAAACGGGUCGUCCCCAUACCCCGUCCGGUAUGGGCGCCAAAACACAUAAGAUCUCCAUACCCCGUCCGGUAUGAGAGACCACAAUCCCGGUAGGGUCCCCUACGGACCCGAUCCGUCUACCAUCUCCCAGGAUAUCUAGUCAGGCUGACCCCAUUACACAAUUAUCAAUUUAUACAAUCUUCCAUUCUUCUUUCCCUCAAUCAGCAUCAUCAAUUCGCAUUUAGAUAAG
rnacentral:lncRNA from 1 species